rnacentral:piRNA from 1 species
UCGAUGGGGAUCCCUAAGGCUCCGGCGUC